rnacentral:tRNA from 1 species
GGAGAGGUGCUCGAGUGGUUGAAGAGGCACGCCUGGAAAGCGUGUAUACUCCAAAGGGUAUCGCGGGUUCGAAUCCCGCCCUCUCCGCCA